UGACUCCUUUGUCUCACCCAUUUCUCCUCACUUCUUUGUUAAUGGCCGAUUCCUCUCAAGCUCUCUAUUCAAAUAAUAGUAAAGAGGAAACAAAGAUGAAGGGGGAAGAUGUUUGAUUCAUCUCAGUCAUCUAAAUCAUUUUUUUCCCCAAAUGUAAUCAUGUCUCUCCAAACGAUGGAGCAAGAACCAUCGUCCCUCUACUAAGAUGUGGAAAAAUCUGAUAUAGGUCCUAAGGAUGACUUGAGACGUGGUGAAGAGGAGGAUGAUGAUGAUGUUGCUAUUCAAGAAAAGGCAAGGCAGCGAGAUGAUUGGAAAAAUGUUAACCUACAUCGUGUUGGCAAUCAGAAGCUCAAUUCUUAUAGAGAUUAUUUUCAUGUGGAUGGUAAUUCUUGUAAUGUUAGUCUUGUAUCUUAAAGAUAAAUAGAUAAUUUUAACUUCA